UACGAAGGGGGCUAGCGUUGUUCGGAAUCACUGGGCGUAAAGCGCACGCAGGCGGAUCGUUAAGUCAGGGGUGAAAUCCCGAGGCUCAACCUCGGAACUGCCUUUGAUACUGGCGAUCUUUGAGUCCGGGAGAGGUGAGUGGAACUCCGAGUGUAGAGGUGAAAUUCGUAGAUAUUCGGAAGAACACCAGUGGCGAAGGCGGCUCACUGGCCCGGUACUGACGCUCAGGUGCGAAAGCGUGGGGAGCAAACAGG
rnacentral:rRNA from 1 species